AUUGAACGCUGGCGGCAUGCCUUACACAUGCAAGUCGAACGGUAACAGGUUAAGCUGACGUGUGGCGAACGGGUGAGUAAUGUAUCGGAACUUGCCCAGUCGUGGGUGAUAACUGCUCGCAAGAGCAGCUAAUACCGCAUACGACCUGCGUGUGAAAGCGGGGGAUCGCAAGACCUCGCGCGAUUGGCGCGGCCGAUAUCCGAUUAGGUAGUUGGUGAGGUAAAGGCUCACCAAGCCGACGAUCUGUAGCUGGUCUGAGAGGACGACCAGCCACACUGGGACUGAGACACGGCCCAGACUCCUACGGGAGGCAGCAGUGGGGAAUUUUGGACAAUGGGCGCAAGCCUGAUCCAGCCAUGCCGCGUGCGGGAAGAAGGCCUUCGGGUUGUAAAGCGCUUUUGUCAGGGAAGAAAAGGUGCUGGCUAAUACCUGGGACUCAUGACGGUACCUGAAGAAUAAGCACCGGCUAACUACGUG
rnacentral:rRNA from 1 species